AGCGAACGCUGGCGGCAGGCUUAACACAUGCAAGUCGAGCGGGCAUCCUUGUGGUGUCAGCGGCAGACGGGUGAGUAACGCGUGGGAACGUGCCCUUCGGUUCGGAAUAACUCAGGGAAACUUGAGCUAAUACCGGAUACGUUCGAGAGCAGAAAGGUUUAUCUGCCGAAGGAUCGGCCCGCGUCUGAUUAGCUAGUUGGUGAGGUUACGGCUCACCAAGGCGACGAUCAGUAGCUGGUCUGAGAGGCUGAUCAGCCACACUGGGACUGAGACACGGCCCAGACUCCUACGGGAGGCAGCAAUGGGGAAUAUUGGACGAUGGGGGAGACACUAAUCCAGCCAUGCCGCGUGAGUGAUGACGGCCUUAGGGUUGUAAAGCUCUUUUCUCCGGGAAGAUAAUGACGGUACCGGAGGAAUAAGCCCCGGCUAACUUCGUG
rnacentral:rRNA from 1 species